GGCCCGGUGGCAGAUCGUCUGCACCUGCAUUGAUUGCACGAUAUGCAAUAAAUCAAUAUCACAGGAGACGCUCGUUCGAUUCGAGCCUGGGUCG